GCCCCGAGAUGAGUUCUCCCUGACCCUUUAAGGGUCCUGAAGGAACGUUGAAGACGACGACGUUGAUAGGCCGGGUGUGUAAGCGCAGCGAUGCGUUGAGCUAACCGGUACUAAUGAACCGUGAGGCUUAACCUUACAACGCCGAAGCUGUU
rnacentral:rRNA from 1 species